GUGGGGAAUUUUGGACAAUGGGCGCAAGCCUGAUCCAGCAAUGCCGCGUGCAGGAAGAAGGCCUUCGGGUUGUAAACUGCUUUUGUACGGAACGAAACGGUCCUGGUUAAUACCUGGGGCUAAUGACGGUACCGUAAGAAUAAGCACCGGCUAACUACGUGCCAGCAGCCGCGGUAAUACGUAGGGUGCGAGCGUUAAUCGGAAUUACUGGGCGUAAAGCGUGCGCAGGCGGUGCUGUAAGACAGGCGUGAAAUCCCCGGGCUCAACCUGGGAACUGCACUUGUGACUGCAAGGCUAGAGUGUGUCAGAGGGAGGUGGAAUUCCGCGUGUAGCAGUGAAAUGCGUAGAGAUGCGGAGGAACACCGAUGGCGAAGGCAGCCUCCUGGGAUAACACUGACGCUCAGGCACGAAAGCGUGGGGAGCAAACAGGAUUAGAAACCCUGGUAGUCC
rnacentral:rRNA from 1 species